rnacentral:tRNA from 44 species
GCGCUCGUAGCUCAACUGGAUAGAGCAACAGACUUCGGAUCUGUAGGUUAUGGGUUCGAUUCCUAUCGGGCGCACCA